UUGGUUUUGGACAUCCUACAUAUCCCGAGUUGUAAGGGAAUCAGGUCACAUGUAGUUCAAAGAGAUGGGGUGAUGAGUUGGAAGUUAAGUGAGGUUCCAUCGAGGCUCCAAAUCUCGUCUCUUAUCCUUGAUUACAAAAGAGAUGAAAACUAAUAGUCAAAAGGAAAAUAAAAGUACAAGCUCCUAUCUAUGCAACUUCUCUUGAGUCUACACUUGAGUCUUGACUUUCAGAUAUCACCUUGAUUUUUGGGUGAGUAUCUUGAUCUUGAAUUGAAUUCGAUGCUUAACUUGCCACUUAGAGUGAGUUUUUGGCACUCUUCGAAAUGACAAUUUGAAUAUGUUAUUGAAUGACUGCAUGUUAUCUUGAU
rnacentral:lncRNA from 1 species